UACGGAGGGUGCGAGCGUUGUCCGGAAUCACUGGGCGUAAAGGGCGUGUAGGCGGGAAGGAAAGUCAGAUGUGAAAGCCCUGGGCUCAACCCAGGAACUGCAUUUGAAACUCCCUUUCUUGAGUGUCGGAGAGGAAAGCGGAAUUCCUGGUGUAGAGGUGAAAUUCGUAGAUAUCAGGAGGAACACCGGUGGCGAAGGCGGCUUUCUGGACGACAACUGACGCUGAGACGCGAAAGCGUGGGGAGCAAACAGG
rnacentral:rRNA from 1 species